GCCUUUAGCCCAACUAGUAUUAAAGGUCCCGCCUGCCCAGUGAAAAUUUUAACGGCCGCGGUAUUCUAACCGUGCAAAGGUAGCGUAAUCACUUGUCUUCUAAAUAAAGACCAGUAUGAACGGCUAAAUGAGGACAGACCUGUCUCCUAUGACUAAUCAGUGAAACUGAUCUUCCAGUACAAAAGCUGGAAUACAGACAUAAGACGAGAAGACCCUGUGGAGCUUCAAACAUCCACUAACAAGCAAAUAAUCUGCCCUAGUGUGUAGUUUUGAGUUGGGGCGACUUCGGAGUAAAAUAAAACCUCCGAGCACAGAGCCACACACUCUCACCAAGACCAACAAGCCAAAGUUAAAACAGCCGACCCAGUAACACUGAUCAACGAACCAAGUUACCCCAGGGAUAACAGCGCUAUCUUCUUCAAGAGUCCCUAUCGACAAGAAGGUUUACGACCUCGAUGUUGGAUCAGGACACCCAAAUGGUGCAGCCGCUAUUAAUGGUUCGUUUGUUCAACGAUUAACAGUCCUACGUGAUCUGAGUUCAG
rnacentral:rRNA from 1 species